rnacentral:rRNA from 1 species
UACGUAGGGGGCAAGCGUUGUCCGGAUUUACUGGGCGUAAAGAGCGCGCAGGCGGCCGAUUUAGUCGCGUGUGAAAGCCCCCGGCUCAACUGGGGAGGGUCACGCGAUACUGAUCGACUCGAAGGCAGGAGAGGGUAGUGGAAUUCCCGGUGUAGUGGUGAAAUGCGUAGAUAUCGGGAGGAACACCAGUGGCGAAGGCGACUACCUGGCCUGUUCUUGACGCUGAGGCGCGAAAGCUAGGGGAGCAAACGGG